GAUGAACGCUGGCUACAGGCUUAACACAUGCCAGUCGAGGGGAAACGACGGGGAAGCUUGCUUCCCCGGGCGUCGACCGGCGCACGGGUGAGUAACGCGUAUCCAACCUGCCUCUGACUGAGGGAUAACCCGUCGAAAGUCGGCCUAAUACCUCAUGGCAUCGUCUGCGGGCAUCCAACGACGAUUAAAGAUUUCAUCGGUCAGAGAUGGGGAUGCGUCUGAUUAGCUUGUUGGCGGGGUAACGGCCCACCAAGGCGACGAUCAGUAGGGGUUCUGAGAGGAAGGUCCCCCACAUUGGAACUGAGACACGGUCCAAACUCCUACGGGAGGCAGCAGUGAGGAAUAUUGGUCAAUGGGCGAGAGCCUGAACCAGCCAAGUAGCGUGCAGGAUGACGGCCCUAUGGGUUGUAAACUGCUUUUAUGCGGGGAUAAAGUGAGGGACGUGUCCUUCAUUGCAGGUACCGCAUGAAUAAGGACCGGUUAAUUCCGUG
rnacentral:rRNA from 1 species